CUGCUUCUCCUCUUCUCCUUCAUUUUAUGUUAUUUUUUUUCUGCUCUGUUUUUCAUUGAGUUGCCGUCUACAGUGUUCCUUCUUCCUCUCCAUCUAAUUUUCGGAUCUUCCCCUCUACAAGUCAGCAAAUGCCACAACUUAUUCCUCCAUCUUCGGCUAGUCUGUCCAUGAGCCUCCAUCGUUGUGCUUUCUCUUAAAUCUUCCUUACUAAUUUUGUGGCUCAUGCUUGUGAUUUAUUUCCAUUGCAUUCCCUUUUUGUUUGCUCUUCAACUGCUCUAUUUUGCCUUAUUGCCUUGCCCUAUUUUUACCAUAAAAGCCAUGAGCUUCACUUGUUUCUUGGUGAUUUUGGUGCUUGCCGUGAGUACAUCUUCUGCCAUUGCUUGUUGCCUCUCGGUUUCCAUUGGAUAUUUUUAUGGUCCAGCUGGAGAAUGAGAAUAUGAAGCAUUGGAAAGGUCUGAUGAUCAUAGAUGAAUGAGUGCAAAGGUUACAAGAAUUUUGGAAGACCAUAUUAGUAGUUUUAUCUCUGGCGGUUAUUUUGGUACGUCAAGUUUUGAAUAAUUUGGGUCUUUGUAGAGAUGUUAUUUGUAUUAUUGAGGUUUUUGUUUAGUAUCUCGGUGGAAGGACAAAGAUUUUUGGAUCGAACAAAUAAGUUAAGUAUUUUGUGGAGUUUUUGUUUA